ACAAACUUGGUCAUUUAGAGGAAGUAAAAGUCGUAACAAGGUUUCCGUAGGUGAACCUGCGGAAGGAUCAUUAAAAGUGCGGACCCUCCGUCCGGCCUCCACUUUGAUCCCACCGUGAACACGUCCCCGUUGCUUCGGCGGGCCAGCGCCCGCGCCCGGCGGCCUCCGGAGACGGAGGCGGCUGGAGCGCCCGCCAGAAGACCACCCCAACUCGUUUUUUUGGUGCCUGUCUGAAGAAAAACACAAUACGUUAAAACUUUCAACAACGGAUCUCUUGGUUCUCGCAUCGAUGAAGAACGCAGC
rnacentral:misc_RNA from 1 species